GAUGAACGCUGGCGGCGUGCCUAAUACAUGCAAGUCGAGCGAACAGACGAGGAGCUUGCUCCUUCGACGUUAGCGGCGGACGGGUGAGUAACACGUAGGUAACCUACCUAUAAGACUGGGAUAACUUCGGGAAACCGGAGCUAAUACCGGAUAAUAUUUCGAACCGCAUGGUUCGAUAGUGAAAGAUGGCUUUGCUAUCACUUAUAGAUGGACCUGCGCCGUAUUAGCUAGUUGGUAAGGUAACGGCUUACCAAGGCAACGAUACGUAGCCGACCUGAGAGGGUGAUCGGCCACACUGGAACUGAGACACGGUCCAGACUCCUACGGGAGGCAGCAGUAGGGAAUCUUCCGCAAUGGGCGAAAGCCUGACGGAGCAAUGCCGCGUGAGUGAUGAAGGUCUUCGGAUCGUAAAACUCUGUUAUUAGGGAAGAACAAACGUGUAAGUAACUGUGCACGUCUUGACGGUACCUAAUCAGAAAGCCACGGCUAACUACGUG
rnacentral:rRNA from 1 species